rnacentral:rRNA from 1 species
AACGAACGCUGGCGGCGUGGAUAAGACAUGCAAGUCGAACGCUAAUUUCAGGGUAGCAAUAUUCUGAGGUUGGAGUGGCGCAAGGGUGCGUAACACGUGGGUAAUUUGCCGUGAAGUUGGGGAUAACUCGCUGAAAGGCGAGCUAAUACCGAAUGUGAAAAUUGGGAGGCAUCUUCUGAUUUUCAAAGUUGGGGACCGCAAGGCCUGACGCUUCUCGAUAAGCCCGCGGCCAUCAGCUAGUUGGUGAGGUAAUGGCUCACCAAGGCUAAGACGGGUAGCUGGUCUGAGAGGACGACCAGUCACACUGGAACUGAGACACGGUCCAGACACCUACGGGUGGCAGCAGUCGAGUAAUUUUUCUCAAUGGGCGAAAGCCUGAAGGAGCGACGCCGCGUGGGGGAUGAAGGGCUUCGGCUCGU